CAAACAAAAAAUUCCUACCCGAGAAGACUCAUGACUCUGGAACACAGUGAGUGCAGCUGUUAUGGUAAGUGAAACAGCUAAUGAUCUGGCAGAACCUUCAAGAUACAAGGUAAAGAGAAAAAAGCCAGGCGCAGGGUAGUCCACUUGCUGUCUUUUGUGUGAAUCUAUCUGUGUUUUUAAAUGCAGAGACUAAAGGAAUUGGCGGUAGGUAGGCAUCGCCUCCAGGGAGUGGAAUUGGGUUACUGGGAGGCACAGAGAGAGGUGUACUUUCUUUUCACUGCAAACCUUUUGUGCAUCCAGCCUUCUGUCUUAAAAAAAAAAAUCUGCAUAUGGAUCAUUCUUCAAACAACAGAAAAAGGAAACCAAAUAAAAAAAAAUCUACCCAAAGAAAAUUUUUUCAUAAUAAAAAUUGUUCCAAGCCUCAGAGCUGGCUCCCAUGUUUUGAGCAACAUCAGCUAUUCAUGUAUUCAGCUGAAGCUCAUCCUUAGGUUUUUGAUCAAGCUGUGCCAUGUUUUUCAUUUCCUUUGAUAGGGUUUCUCAGUUCCCGUCUUGUCAGUGAAGUGGUUUUUAGUUGAACUGUUAUUUGCAAUAGAUGAAAGUAAACAGUGCAAGACAUUAAUUGUGGUGUUUCUACUUUAAAAACAAUCAGAUAAAAUUCUAGAACAAGAUUUGCUGUUCGGUAGGAAGAUCAGAUUCUUUUCCCUAUACACUUAAUGCUACGUAUUCAUGCUCCAGUGCAGACUGCUGGCAAGGUAAAGAGGCUGACAACCAGAGUUGUAAUUAGGUCCUGCUUGUUUCCUUUAGAGUUUACAGUCCAGAAAGUUCAUGGAAAUAAUGAGAGUCUUAUAGCAUUUUGUUAUGCAUUGAAAUGUAUUCUCAUAUGUUAAAGUCCUAAUCCCCAGUACUUUAGAAUGUGACCUGAUUUGGAAAUAAGGUCAUUACAGAUGUAAGUAAAGAUGAGGUCACACUGGAGUAAGGUGGGCUAUAAUCCAAUAUGAGCAUGUCCUUGUAGAAAGGGAAAAUAUUUACACAGCCACAUACACAGGGAGAACUCCAUGUGAAGAUGAAGGCAGAGACCAGAGUGAUGGUUCUACCAGACAAGGAAUGCUGAAGAUUGGCAGCAAACUACCACAUGCUAGGAGAGGGUAAUGGCACAGAUUCUUCCUCGCAGCAGUCAGAAGAAAGGAUCUCUGCUAACACUGGAUCUCUGGCUUCUGGGAUCCAAAACGACUCAGUAGUCAGCGGAAACUUGAUGAUAGCAUAGUGGUCAAGCUUGUUUCUCCUGGGAGCGCUCUUCCGAGGAUAUUUGGGCUGUCUCCGGAGUCGCAGUGUCUUCGGCCGCCGGAAGGAAGAAGAGUAAGGGGGAAUGUGUGGAAGUACCCAACAUGGAUGGGGAGAGCUGGAAACGUCUGCCUGCUCUGAGCUGUGUUGGAAACCUGAGGAGGAAGUUGCCAUUAAUUUCUGCAAGAAAAAAAUGAAAGUGUACCAGUCAGAGUUGUUAAAGCAGAAAAGGAUUUUAUUGAAAGAACAUAGGAUUGCUCCCAGAGUUUCCAGGAGGGCUGAUGAACAAGCCUUGAGAAGCCAGCAGGAACAAUGGCAGGCCAGGCAGGCAGAGCCAUGGCCAAGACUGCACCACAGAUCAACCUCAGGGAAGCACACUGAUGCCUCUACAGGGACUCAGACAUCUCAGUUUCAAUCAGUACCACCAAUGCCACUGAACACUGGACUUGGCUGCUGCUGCCUUCACCACUGUAAUGGAUUCUCCACUUUGCCUGUUUCUUUGUCCAAAUUCACAGUGCCAGCCUGCUGCAUUUAAUUGACCAGGUCUGUUUCAGUCACCCAUGACUUAAACUGCCAGGGGUGCUGGGGAACAAGCAUCAGGUUUUGGGGUUCCCAUGCUGGGAAGUGGGCAUGAGCAGUGAAUGGAGUUAAUAGAGGGAUAAUAUACCAGGAAGUUAAAAAAAAAGAAAUUACAGUCAUCUACAAUAUUGAGAGAAAUGAUUUUUUAUAAAAAGCAGUUUUUCUUCUAUGCUGCCUAUGUGAAAGCAAUAAAUAUCCAAAGCAAUGUUAUGAGUAGUGUAUUAAAAUUAACAUGGGUAUUUUAAGACUUCUUUGGGAGGUGAGAGCAGGUCCAUAUGUACAUACAAAUCAUUUUUGAGAUGGCCCCUGGAGGGGGUUCUGUGGUAAGAACCUGAGGAGGGCCUCUUAGAGUAGUCCUGAUUGAUAGUUGUCAAGAAAACAGGGACUUUACUUGACAACUACAAGAAUCUUAAUUUUUCCAACCGCCAGUGAACUUGGAAGAAGACUUCAAGUUUUUGAUGAGAUCAUAGCAUUGACUGACAUCUUGAUUUCAGCCUCAUGAGAUGUUGAUUAGAGGACCAAGUUAUCCUGCUCUGGACUCCUUACUUACAGAAACUCAGAUAUUAGAUUUGUGUUGUAUAAAGUUGCUAAAUUUACGGCAAUUUGUUAUGCAGCAAUAGAAAACUAAUACAGUGACAAACAAAAUAUUACCAGAAUGUUCUUCAAUAGGGACAGAUUAAGUAAAUGAUGAUACAUUCACACAAUGGAGUAAUAUUAAUUUUAAUAGGAAUAAAGAAUAUCUGUGUGAGGUGUUUUUAUAUGCUAACUUUUGUAUAAGAAAAGGGGACUAUGAAUACAUACACACCAAUGCUUAUAUUUUCAAUAAGAAAUAGUAGGAUGAUAAACCAAAUUAAAUAAAAAAUGGUUACUUAGAAGAGGAGUCAGGGACCAAAGAGAAGAAAACAGGAUUGACAAGAGAAUUUUGUAAAUAUACCUUGUUAUGUUUUUGACUUUGGUACUGUGUAAAAUGUUUACAUAAUAAAAGCU
rnacentral:lncRNA from 1 species